CCACCCGAGACUCAGUGAAAUUGAACUCGCUGUGAAGAUGCAGUGUACCCGCGGCAAGACGGAAAGACCCCGUGAACCUUUACUAUAGCUUGACACUGAACAUUGAGCCUUGAUGUGUAGGAUAGGUGGGAGGCUUUGAAGUGUGGACGCCAGUCUGCAUGGAGCCGGCCUUGAAAUACCACCCUUUAAUGUUUGAUGUUCUAACGUGGACCCGUGAUCCGGGUUGCGGACAGUGUCUGGUGGGUAGUUUGACUGGGGCGGUCUCCUCCUAAAGAGUAACGGAGGAGCACGAAGGUUGGCUAAUCCUGGUCGGACAUCAGGAGGUUAGUGCAAUGGCAUAAGCCAGCUUGACUGCGAGCGUGACGGCGCGAGCAGGUGCGAAAGCAGGUCAUAGUGAUCCGGUGGUUCUGAAUGGAAGGGCCAUCGCUCAACGGAUAAAAGGUACUCCGGGGAUAACAGGCUGAUACCGCCCAAGAGUUCAUAUCGACGGCGGUGUUUGGCACCUCGAUGUCGGCUCAUCACAUCCUGGGGCUGAAGUAGGUCCCAAGGGUAUGGCUGUUCGCCAUUUAAAGUGGUACGCGAGCUGGGUUUAGAACGUCGUGAGACAGUUCGGUCCCUAUCUGCCGUGGGCGCUGGAGAACUGAGGGGGGCUGCUCCUAGUACGAGAGGACCGGAGUGGACGCAUCACUGGUGUUCGGGUUGUCAUGCCAAUGGCACUGCCCGGUAGCUAAAUGCGGAAGAGAUAAGUGCUGAAAGCAUCUAAGCACGAAACUUGCCCCGAGAUGAGUUCUCCCUGAGACUUAGAGUCUCCUGAAGGAACGUUGAAGACGACGACGUUGAUAGGCCGGGUGUGUAAGCGCAGCGAUGCGUUGAGCUAACCGGUACUAAUGAACCGUGAGGCUUAACCUUACA
rnacentral:rRNA from 2 species